rnacentral:rRNA from 1 species
GAUGAACGCUGGCGGCGUGCCUAAUACAUGCAAGUCGAGCGAACGGACGAGAAGCUUGCUUCUCUGAUGUUAGCGGCGGACGGGUGAGUAACACGUGGAUAACCUACCUAUAAGACUGGGAUAACUUCGGGAAACCGUAGCUAAUACCGGAUAAUAUUUUGAACCGCAUGGUUCAAAAGUGAAAGACGGUCUUGCUGUCACUUAUAGAUGGAUCCGCGCUGCAUUAGCUAGUUGGUAAGGUAACGGCUUACCAAGGCAACGAUGCAUAGCCGACCUGAGAGGGUGAUCGGCCACACUGGAACUGAGACACGGUCCAGACUCCUACGGGAGGCAGCAGUAGGGAAUCUUCCGCAAUGGGCGAAAGCCUGACGGAGCAACGCCGCGUGAGUGAUGAAGGUCUUCGGAUCGUAAAACUCUGUUAUUAGGGAAGAACAUAUGUGUAAGGAACUGUGCACAUCUUGACGGUACCUAAUCAGAAAGCCACGGCUAACUACGUG